UGGCAGCUCUAAGGUCCAAAGAUUGC
rnacentral:piRNA from 1 species